GGGGCCGCCAUAGCCGCGGCCAUGGCGCCGCCCGCGCCGCCGCCCUCACGCGUCUUCGCCGAGCUCGACCUGGCCCCGGCCCCGGCCCCGGAGGGACGCGUCGAGCCUGCGGCGCUCCCCGGGCGGGAGGUGCAUGUGAGCGGCAGCGCGGAGCUGAGCGCCCGCCCAGACCGGGCACGGGUGUCGCUGCGGCUCGGCAGCCGCAAGGAGGCGGCCGUGGCGGCGCGGAGCAGCGUGUGCCGCCGGCUGCAGUACAUCGCCCAGAGCGCCCGCCUGCACGGCGUCCCGGAAGAAAAUAUGACUGUAACAGAAGAUUUUAGUAGAGUAGAGAAUACUUACCAAAUGGAAGCAGAGGUCUGUAUCAUAUUCAGUGAUUUUGGAAAAAUGCAGAAUGUUUGCAAUCUACUCAUUGAAAAGUUAGGAACCUCUGUUACCAUCAGUCCACCUCAUUUCUACCAUACACCAGAAGCCAUAGACACACUUCGCCGCCAAGUGUGUGUCACUGCCGUUGGAAACACGCGCCGGAAAGCCCAGGAAGUCUGUCAACUGUUUGGCCAGGCAUUGGGAAAGCCUUUAUUGAUAAAAGAAGAGGAAACAAAAGAAUGGGGAGGCCACAUAGACAGUCACCUGUCACUCUCUGCUGAUUCACAGACUCUGCAAGAAAGAAUCCAGAAUGCUACUGCUUAUGCAUCUUGUAGAGUGUUUGCUGUGUUUGAGAUAAAGGGAAAAGAAAACAGGAGAAACAAGUUGCCGUAGAAACCUUCAAAUCCUACACAUCUUAAUAAAUUUUUUAUGCUUUCUUGUGAUUUUUGAUGGUUUUUUACUUCAUUCUUGUGGCCUUGCAAGAAACAAGACUCACAAUAUCCUUGCUUUUUGUACAUAGGCCCAAUGGCGAUCUGCUACCACCCUUUUUCCUUCACAAGUGACAGCUAAACUCCAAGAGAGGAAGAGACAAAUGUAGAACAUAUUGCCACCUCCAACAACCAUGGUCCCUGGAAAGAGCUAAGGCAACUUCUAUGUGUAUAUAUAUACAUGAAUCUUCAAACAAAGAAGUGCCUAUGAAAACAAAUCAUAGGCCAGGGAAUAUGGGCCAUGAUAUUUGCUGCUACCUAUAAAUAUUUCUGCCCUAAGUAACCCACAUCUAAACACAAAAAAGUGAUGGAUGAAUACAGAUGGAGUUUGUGAAGCAAUCAGUGUCAAUCAAUGAACAGGCAGUGGCCUCUGGUCAGUGAUUUCAUAAAGAUCUGGAAGUCAGAGGAAGGCAAUGAAAAGUUGGGCUGAAAAGCUGGCUGAUGUUUUGAGGGAUUUACAAGGACCAAGCUCAGUAAGCUGCUGCCUAAAGGUCAGAAGGCAUUUUGCAAAGUGCUUCUGACAUGAUAGGCAAAGGCAAUUAAAACCUCAAAAGCAGCAAAAGAUGCUUGUCAUCGCUCUUGAAAUUAAAACAAUAAACGUGAACACAAGGCUGCUGGGACAGCAGAACAAUAUAAGAUACAUAAAAAAAACCAGUGUCUGGUGGGAAAUUCUUGGGGGUUCAGCUGGUGAUAACACUACUGAGAGGAGAAAAGAAAGCAAGGAUGCAGGUGUUUUAGAAGCCAGAAAUGAGCGACAGUUGGAUAAAACUAUAUCAGGGAAGGAACCAAAUGCACAAAAUGAGGCUGAAUGUCAAUUCCCAGCUGAACAUGAAUUUUCUGCUAUAGGCGAAGAUUUUCAUGUUUUCCUCAUUUUCAGUUCUCUGACUUAAUAAUUAGUGUGUUCCUGCCACUUAAGCAGCAUGUCAGUGGCAUGCAGAGUAUGCAGCACUGCAUUACCAGAUUAGCACUGUCAACAAAGAUUUAGCAUUUGAUUUUCAAACAAGGAUUUAAGCAAGAGAAAUUCAAAGGCUUUAAGAAUUCUAACAAAAAUGUGUUUUUAAAUAGAUUUACACUCCAAGUAACCAGAUCCUCAAAAACAUUGCUUUUUCACUGAAACUGAUUAAACACAGAGGAUUACUUGCAUUUCUUAAGUGCAGUGAAGAUGCCACCAAUUAUGGAUAACCAGAUAAAGGACUUAACAGCUUCUCAAUUUUAGUGACACAGCAGGAGAAAUCCAUUCAGACAUCAUAGGUUGACACUGUUAUUUCAAAUACAACACUGUGUAUAAAAAGUGAGUAGUUUUAAUUUGAGAUAUGUCUGCGACAGCCCUGACCAACGAAGCUUAACCACUCAGUGGUGUAAAAGCCAGGCUAUACUGGGGACCACAGUGCAGAAGCAGCAAAGGUACUAAGCCGCACAGAUGAUGCAGAACUGUGGAGUAUUUCCCACUAGGAUGGCAAGAAGUUGGUGUGUAACAGUGUUUCUGAGGGUAUUUUAACCUGAGUUAUUCUGUGUAUAUAUUAAUAAAGCAAGAGUUUAGUACAUUCA